rnacentral:rRNA from 1 species
UCAGCUUGAUGGUAGUGUAUUGGACAACCAUGGCAUUCACGGGCUAUCGGGGGAUUAGGGUUCGAUUCCGGAGAGGGAGCCUGAGAAACGGCUACCACUUCUACGGAAGGCAGCAGGCGCGAAAAUUAUCCAAUCCUGAUUCAGGGAGGUAGUGAAAGAAAUAAUGAACUAGGAUUUAUCCUGGGAUCACAAUGGGCUUGAUUUGCAAACUUUAUUAGCGAGGAACAAUUGGAGGGCAAGUCUGGUGCCAGCAGCCGCGGUAAUUCCAGCUCCAAUAGUGUAUAUUAAUGUUCCUGCAGUUAUUCGAUGCUCGUAGUUGGAUUUCUGGGGGCUGAUUCUGGACGGCGGCUAUGGCCGCCACCGGUUUCUUCCUUCAUCCACCUGUUAACGUUGUUCGAGAUUUAUUUCUCGGCUUCGGGCUCAGGUAUUUUACCCUUACUAUAUUCAUUUAUUUAUCUUCUUUUUGAGCAAAUUAUAGUGUUUCAGGCAGGCGUGCGCCGGAAUACUUUAGCAUGGAAUAAUCGAAUUGGACUGUGUUCCUUAUUUGUUGGUUUGAUGGGCACAGAAUGGUUAAUAGGGAUAGUAAUUUUCAGGGGAGGCAUUAGUAUUUAAUUUCCAGAGGUGAAAUUCUUUGAAAUAUUAAAGACUAACUUAUGCGAAAGCAUUUAUUUUGCCAAUAAUGUUUUCAUUAAUCAUUGAACGAAAGUUAGGGGAUCAAAGACGAUCAGAUACCGUCCUAGUCUUAACCAUAAACGUUGCCGACUAGGGAUCGGAGGGCGUGCACAUUCCGCCUUCGGCACCUUACGAGAAAUCAAAGUCUUUUGGGUUCUGGGGGUAGUAUGGUCGCAAGGCUGAAACUUAAAGGAAUUGACGGAAGGGCACCACCAGGAGUGGAGCUUGCGGCUCAAUUUGACUCAACACGGGAAAUCUUACCAGGUCCAGACAUAGCGAGGAUUGACAGAUUGAUAGCUCUUUCUUGAUUCUAUGGGUAUUUUUGGUGGUGCAUGGCCGUUCUUAGUUGGUGGAGUGAUUUGUCUGGUUAAUUCCGUUAAACGAACGAGACCUCAGCCUGCUAAAUAGUUACUUGUCUUUCUUUUACGAGACAUGUUAACUUCUUAGAGGGACGUUGUGUGCAACCACAAGGAAGUUGAGGCAAUAACAGGUCUGUGAUGCCCUUAGAUGUCCUGGGCCGCACGCGUGCUACACUGAUACGUACAACGAGGUAUAUGUAUUUAUACAUCGAUGCUGCUCCGAAAUAGACAAAGCUAAAUCUUCUAAAAUACGUAUCGUGCUGCGGAUAGAUCGUUGAAAUUAUGAAUCUUGAAGGUGGAAUUCCUAGUAAGCGCGGGUCAUCAACCCGCGUUGAUUACGUCCCUGCCCUUUGUACACACCGCCCGUCGCUCCUACCAAUUUCGAGUGGCUCGGUGAACCUCUUUGGACUGUCGAGCAAUCGCGAAAUUAGAGUGAACCUGGUCACUUAGAGGAAGGAGAAGUCGUAACAAGGUU